rnacentral:rRNA from 1 species
GAUGAACGCUGGCGGCGUGCCUAAUACAUGCAAGUCGAGCGAACAGACGAGGAGCUUGCUCCUCUGACGUUAGCGGCGGACGGGUGAGUAACACGUGGAUAACCUACCUAUAAGACUGGGAUAACUUCGUGAAACCGGAGCUAAUACCGGAUAAUAUAUUGAACCGCAUGGUUCAAUAGUGAAAGACGGUUUUGCUGUCACUUAUAGAUGGAUCCGCGCCGCAUUAGCUAGUUGGUAAGGUAACGGCUUACCAAGGCAACGAUGCGUAGCCGACCUGAGAGGGUGAUCGGCCACACUGGAACUGAGACACGGUCCAGACUCCUACGGGCGGCAGCAGUAGGGACUCUUCCGCAAUGGGCGAAAGCCUGAAGGAGCAACGCCGCGUGAGUGAUGAAGGUCUUCGGAUCGUAAAACUCUGUUAGUAGGGAAGAACAAAUGUGUAAGUAACUAUGCACGUCUUGACGGUACCUAAUCAGAAAGCAACGGCUAACUACGUG